UACGUAGGGUGCGAGCGUUGUCCGGAUUUAUUGGGCGUAAAGAGCGUGUAGGCGGCUAUACAGGUCCGCUGUGAAAACUCGAGGCUCAACCUCGAGACGUCGGUGGAAACCGUAUGGCUAGAGUCCGGAAGAGGAGAGUGGAAUUCCUGGUGUAGCGGUGAAAUGCGCAGAUAUCAGGAAGAACACCCGUGGCGAAGGCGGCUCUCUGGGACGGUACUGACGCUGAGACGCGAAGCGUGGGGAGCGAAGCAGG
rnacentral:rRNA from 1 species